ACAUGCCUACAAUAUAGUGUUAAUGCAUUGGAUCCCAUUAGAACUCUGCAGUUAAGUGUGUUUAGGAUAGAGUAGUACUGGGAUGGGUGACCGCUUGGGAAGUCCUAGUGUUUUCCAUGCC
rnacentral:rRNA from 1 species